rnacentral:rRNA from 1 species
GAUGGGGGAAACCCUGAUCCAGCCAUGCCGCGUGAGUGAUGAAGGCCUUAGGGUUGUAAAGCUCUUUUGUCAGGGAAGAUGAUGACGGUACCUGAAGGAUAAGCACCGGCUAACUUCGUGCCAGCAGCCGCGGUAAUACGAAGGGUGCUAGCGUUGUUCGGAAUCACUGGGCGUAAAGCGCGCGUAGGCGGCUUUUCAAGUCAGAGGUGAAAUCCCCAGGCUCAACCUGGGAACUGCCUCUGAAACUGUAAAGCUAGAGUGUUGGAGGGGAUAGCGGAAUUGCUAAUGUAGAGGUGAAAUUCGUAGAUAUUAGCAGGAACACCGGUGGCGAAGGCGGCUAUCUGGACAACAACUGACGCUGAGGCGCGAAAGCGUGGGGAUCAAA